AAAAUCUGUUGAUAUAACUCCUGCCCUCCACCAAAAACAGCAUUAGUGGUUCUGUUCUCCAACUGUUUUCUCCUGGUUGGCUGGGAGCUUCAGAUGAAUCAUGAUACCAGUCAGAAGCAACGUCUGUAUUUAGUCUGAGGAACUUUGGAACUCCUUGACACAGGAAAUCAUGGUGGCAAAGUAUUUUGCCAAGAUCAAAAAAACAGUAUCAGCGAUAGCCAACAGAUGUUGCCAAGUUCCUCCUCCAGCUGCUGCUAUUCUCUCGGCACGAUACUUUUGUGUGAUUGGUCUUGAAAAAAUGGGCAAGUCUUUUUAACCAGAGGCAACCACGGGAAAUAAUAACAAUAAUAAUGUUACUGUUGCUGGUAUUGUGGUUACUGUCGUUGCAUCUUCAGCUAAACAGCACAGGCAUUUGCAGCCAUAAUGUAAAAUAUAAACAAUAA